rnacentral:lncRNA from 1 species
GAAAACGCUGUGCAAAAAGGUCAAACUCAAGACGCUUGUGCAUGUGGAGACUGAGCCACAUGUUGAUGAACCACCAGGGACCUCCCAAGUUGCCGAUAGGCUGGCCGAGUAGGAGUUUCCUAGUCACUUGGUGAAGGAGGUGGUAGGCUGCACCGAGCAGGUAUCGGCCGAGGGGAAAUCGGCCACCAUUAGCCAAAUUUUCUGCUGCUGCUAGGGCCUG